GUUGACCUCGGAUCAGGUAGGAAUACCCGCUGAACUUAAGCAUAUCAAUAAGCGGAGGAAAAGAAACCAACAGGGAUUCCCCUAGUAACGGCGAGUGAAGCGGGAACAGCUCAAAUUUGAAAUCUGGCCCUUGGGUCCGAGUUGUAAUUUGCAGAGGAUGCUUUUGGUGCGGUGCCUUCCGAGUUCCCUGGAACGGGACGCCUUAGAGGGUGAGAGCCCCGUACGGUUGGCCACCAAGCCUUUGUAAAGCUCCUUCGACGAGUCGAGUAGUUUGGGAAUGCUGCUCAAAAUGGGAGGUAUAUUUCUUCUAAAGCUAAAUACUGGCCAGAGACCGAUAGCGCACAAGUAGAGUGAUCGAAAGAUGAAAAGCACUUUGAAAAGAGGGUUAAAUAGCACGUGAAAUUGUUGAAAGGGAAGGAUUUAUGACCAGACUUUUUCUAGGGGGAUCAUCCGGUGUUCUCACCGGUGCACUUCCCCUAGUUGAGGCCAGCAUCGGUUUCUGCCGGGGGAUAAAAGCUUCGGGAAUGUGGCUCCUUCGGGAGUGUUAUAGCCCGUUGCAUAAUACCCUGGCGGGGACCGAGGUUCGCGCAUC
rnacentral:rRNA from 1 species